GCCGACAUAGCUCAGCGGUAGAGCGGCGCACUCGUAAUGCGCAGGUCGUGGGUUCGAGUCCCACUGUCGGCUCCA
rnacentral:tRNA from 4 species